rnacentral:lncRNA from 1 species
UGCAGAUGAAGAAGCCGAGGCACAGAGAGGUGAAGUGACUUGCCCCAAGUCACACAGCCAUCAAGUCCUAAUACGUUGGUAGCAUAGAUUCGUCAUAUUCAUUAAGGGCCACGUGCUGGGAACUCAGCUGUGUCCUGGGAACUCAGCCCCUGCCCUCCAGGAGUCUCAGAGUCUGGUGGAGGAGACAGACCCAUGGCUGGGUAAUGGCAGUACCACGUGCUAAGUGCUCUAAUGGAGUGAACCCAGGGAGCUGUCACGGAACCCGUGACAUCUGGGCUGUGGCACCUAGAAAGGCCCAAGGAGACACCAGGGAGGGCUUCCUGGAGGAAGAAACAUUUAAGCUGAGAUCAGGAAGAAGGUAGGAAAACAGCCUGAAGGAGGAUCUGGGAGCGAGUCCCUGCAGUUGUGAGUUUUGGGAGCAGUCAUAAGCUGAUAAUUUCCAUUCUGAGAGGUUCCAGAGGUCCUGUGACAGCACAGGGGCACUCUGGUGGCCCAGGAUCUCUGAUGUCGCAGGGUUCCUACAUGGCCUAGACAUCCUGGAGCAGCCCUGUCUCCAUAGCAACCUGGGAGUUCCAUGCUGCUUCAGACAAUUAUACGUGGCCCAGGGUUUCUUCUGGCAUGCUAGGGACCUGUGUGGUCCUGGGGCACUGUGACAGGCCAGGGAUCUGGACACUCCCAAGAGCACCGCAGCAGCUUCUGAGGGUUCUAGUCGUUUUGAACCCUGAAGAUUCUGACAACCCUGGGGGAUCGCUGGCAUCUCCAGGAUCCCGCAGCCCUAUUUUUUAUGACCACAGAAGGGAGACUAUGCAGACUCCUAGAAGACAAAGCCUUUAACUGGAGAAAAAGAAAACAGCAUGGAAGGGACUGUACCUGGAGGUGCAUUUGCAAGGCUUAAGCAGGCGGAAAGUCUACGGACAUGUGGCUGGACACUCUCUGCCUCCAGAAGCCUGGGAAAGCUGAGGAGUCUGGAUUCCUCAGGGUUUAUUUCCUUCUGGAAAGCUGAAAAUUAACCACCUAAGGGAGGUCUGCAGGGAGCACUGUCCUGACUUGCAGGCCUGUCACCCGAAGAGGACCAAGGAUGCACUCGUUGCCUGGAUACGGAGGUACCGCUCCUCAGAGCCCUCGGAGCAGGUGCAUCGCGCAGGGCCCAGAGGUUGCAGCUGUUUGGGGUAGGGAGCUGGCACACCUCCACGAACUGACACCAGCAUUAGCUCCUCCAGGGAUUCCUCUGAUCUGAGCCCUCCCAGACCGCAUCCCAGCCCCUCUCACAGCUCCAGGUCAGCUGGGGGACUUAUCUGGCCUCAAUCCCAGGGCUCGCAGAAUAGGGGUGACACUCCCACCUGUUUCACGGGAGCUCCAGGAGCCAAGUGGGGUGGGGGAGAACCCUGUAUGAAAGCAUGAGAACACGCUCCCGCUUCACCACGGGUCCCGUGAGCUCCCGGGCAAACUCCUUCAUACCACGGGGCCUCAGCCUCCUCAUUUGGAAAAAGGAGAGGGGCCUAGCCCAGUGUAGGACACAUGAUAGUUUCUCAGCCAAUGCUAGCUCUACCCCCCACCCCUCUACCCUCAACCAGAGGCGGCGCCAGCUACUCUGCGUGUGGGGAAGAGGGUGGUUCUUAAGGGGAGGGGCCCAGCUGGCCCCGUGAGAGUCAGUGGUCUUGGUGCCUUUGCCUCUGAGCAAAUCCUCCCUUUUUUGACUCCGGGAAGAGCCAACAUGAGAACUGCCUUUGUCAGCACUGGGCAGAGAGUUUACACCCAUGUGUGUGGUCCUCCCUAUGAGAUGGUGGCCUGGUGAUCCCAUUUUACAGACAGACAAACUGAGGCACAGAGAAAGCAGUGAAGUCGCCCCAGGUCACAUGAUGAGGGCAGAGCAAGCAUUCCUAUCCGGGUCUGCCUUGAUGGCAAAGCCUGCACGUUCAUCGCAUCUCUUCCCGGGUAUCCUUCUAGAAACACUUGGGGGAGAAAGAGGAAAAUGGUGAGAUGGGAACCAGCUGGAGAACUAGUUGGCCCCUUGGCACUCGGGAGUGGGGAGUACAUCAUUUGUCCUCCAGGUCUAGGGCUGGCCUGGCUGGUUUCCACCCAGGCUGGGUCCUUGAAACAUCUGAGGAUCCCCAACCUUCUGCAGACUGGACCCCUCCCCUCCAGGGGCUCUUUUUUAGAGAAACUAGUGGUGGAGGAUGUCAGGGCCUCCGGUCUCAACCAGAACCAGUUCUGCCCGCACCUCAGAGGAAGAGGCAGGAGGGACAAAGACGUCAUAACUGGGAGACAAGGAGGGGGUCUGGUGGCCCACUAACCCAUUUUGCUUUUCCAGCCAAGCGGGUGUCGGCAUCAAAUAGGAAGGCAGGGAGUUCCUGUUGUGGCUCAGAGGGUUAAGAACCUGACUAGUAUCCAUGAGGAUGCAGGUUCGAUCCCUGGCCUUGCUCAGUGGCUUUUAAGGAUCCAGCAUUGCCACAAGCUGCAGCAUAGGUCGCAGGUGCAGCUCAGAUCUGGCCGUUGCUGUGGCUAUGGCAUAGGCCGGCAGCUAUAGCUCCCAUUCCACCUCUGGGCCAGGAGCUUCCAUAUACCGCACGUGCAGCCCUGAAAAAAAGAAAAAACAAAACAAAACAGGAGGGCAGGGUUCAUUACCCCACCCCCACUGUAGCUAGAUCUGCCCUGUGGCUGAGGUCACAAGCCCCAUACAGAAGGGGGACCCUUGGAACCAGCAUCCGUGGCCUGGCUUACAUUCUCCCCGUGGGCCCCCUGCCCAGCCCAGAGCCAGCCUCUCUGAUGCCAUCGCCAAAUACCAGACCACUUAUCGGCCUUUUCCAGAGCACCUGUGUCCCCACUCCAAGCUCCAAGCCUGCAAUUAGGAAAGCAGCAAAGGGCUUAACUUUCUCUGGGCUGGGAGCUUUUCUGUGGGAAAGAUAAGCUUGGUCUGGAUUAAGCUGGAGGGUAAAAUAAUAUUUACUCUCAAACAAUAUUCUCUGUCUGGGAGCAAGUCUGGGCCCUGGGGCUGCCAGGGGUCUGCCAUCUCCUGCCAGGUCCCCAGGAUGCCUUGCCUCCCUGCCUGCUGUCGGCUGGGCUGGUUCUGCAGCCCGGUUCCCCGCAGUGCCUGCUCUCAUUAUGAAAGGGAAAUGAGAUUAUUUUGGGGCAAAUAAGCCUCAGGGAGGUGGAAUCCCAGCUUUUUUUCAGUGGCAAAGCUGAGAUUCAGACUGAAGACGGUGAAGACCUGGGCCUGUGUGAGCCUGGCCACCAGCCAGCCAGGGAGGGGCUCCGGGCAGGAUCCGGGUGGGCAGGGAGGCCUUGGUGGAGGUGGGGGGAUGGCGACCCUUUAGACACAGCCUCAGGGUCCAGAGCGGGAGGAAAGGCCCCAAUGCUUCCUGUCCCUGCUCCCCUUUGUGGAACAACAAACAGACCAUUCUCUGCUCCUUAUCCCAUGUUUCACUCAUUUGUGCCCCUGGAGGCUGGGAGAAGAGCACCCUGGCUCAUUCUCCAGGAGAACAAAGACAGAGGUCAAGGCUGUCUCUCCGACAGGGCAGGCUCUGGCUCCAGGGAGGGAAGGGCGAACGGAAAAUCAAGUUGGGUACCUCCCCCUCCCCCAUCCCCCACAUCCUCUAAAAGGAGCCCUUCUGGGUUCUGGUGCAGCCCUCAGCCCCCCUGUGACCUAGCUGGGAGGCCCAGGGGGGCCCCUGACCUCCCGCACACUGGGCUUCGUCUUAUCUCCAAAGUGAACGUCUCAAAAAGAAAUAGAAGGGACCACUGCUGAUGCUGGAGAAAUCAGGGAAGGCUUCCCGGCUGAGGAGACAUCAAGCUGGGCAUUGAAGGGUGAGAAGAAAUUCUCUCGGCAGACCACAGGAGAAAAGGUAUUCCAGGCCCAGGUUGCAAUACCUACCAAGACCCAGCAGCUUCAGAGUGUGGAGUUUCAAUGUCCCUGUCACGGUGAUUUGUUUUAAUGAUGUGAAUGAUACAUAUUCCUUAUAAGAAAAAAAAUCACCUGAAUAUAAAGAAUAAAAGGAAAAUCAUCAACUAUAAAUGUAAUAAAAUUCAUCGAGUAAUACUUUUAGAAAAAGAAUGGGGAAAAAAACCAAUUCACAAACAGUAUCUUGUGAUGAAAAUAAAAGUUGGGUUUUCUAAUAU